UACGUAGGGGGCAAGCGUUGUCCGGAAUCAUUGGGCGUAAAGCGCGUGUAGGCGGUUCAGUAAGUCUGCUGUGAAAGUCCAGGGCUCAACCCUGGGAUGCCGGUGGAUACUGCUGGACUAGAGUGCGGAAGAGGCGAGUGGAAUUCCCGGUGUAGCGGUGAAAUGCGCAGAUAUCAGGAAGAACACCCGUGGCGAAGGCGGUUCUCUGGGACGGUACUGACGCUGAGACGCGAAAGCGUGGGGAGCGAACAGG
rnacentral:rRNA from 1 species